UACGUAGGAGGCAAGCGUUGUCCGGAAUACUGGGCGUAAAGCGUGCGCAGGCGGUUUGCUAAGACCGAUGUGAAAUCCCCGGGCUUAACCUGGGAACUGCAUUGGUGACUGGCAGGCUAGAGUAUGGCAGAGGGGGGUGGAAUUCCGCGUGUAGCAGUGAAAUGCGUAGAGAUGCGGAGGAACACCGAUGGCGAAGGCAGCCCCCUGGGCUAACACUGACGCUCAGGCACGAAAGCGUGGGGAGCAAACAGG
rnacentral:rRNA from 1 species